rnacentral:lncRNA from 1 species
AGAUCCCGAUCCAGCGAUCGUCUAUGAAGGACAGAAGCUCGUCCUGCGCUGUCUCGUCAGGAAGGGGACGCAUCUGUCCUUCACAUGGUACCACGACACACAGUUAGUGAACUCCUCGUCAGAGCUCCACCGGCUCUCCGGAGACGCUCUCACGGUGGACGGGGCGACUGAAAUGCAUGCUGGGAUAUACUCAUGCACAGCUCAAAACCAGAUGACCGUCAACCCCAGAUUCUCCAGCAGCCGAAACCUCCACGUCACUGUCAAAAAGCGCAUCUCGGCGCCCUCGUUAUCGUUUACGGUCUUCUCUAACGGCUCCAGCCUGACGGCCAACAUCAGCUGCCGUUCUGAGCGUGGAUCUCCGCCCGUGACGUUCAGAUUGAUGUUGGACGGACUGGAGCUGGAUGUGAAGCGAGUGGAUUCACUAGAGUCCUGGUUCGUUCUGCCGAUCUCUGUGGGUCUGGAUCUGGGAGCCGCUCGAUGUAAAGCACAAACGGAAACACAGCAGCUGCUGUCUGAUCCCGUGCGUUUACUCGUAGUUCCAGUAGGUGGCGCUGUGCGUGUCACAGUAACGUACCUCCACGACGCCGACGGGACGGUGGCAGCCGCUCGGCUCAAAUGUGUCCCAGACAUAGGAACGUUUCCCACAUUCUCCUGGCGUCUGAACCAUUCCUCCCUUCCAGCAGAGGGCGACGCUCACGCGGUCACUCAUCACGGUCAGAUCUUGAUCCUCACAGAUGUCAGCGCUGGGUUUUACCGCUGCAGGGUGAGGGACAGUUUUAACGACAGCUCAGUCUGGGUGGAGAGCGAGGACAUCUUUAUUCAGAAGACAGAUUUGGCAGCGACGCCCGUGGAGGUCAUUGCGUUGGUUUUCUGUGGUUUCCUGUCGAUUGUGAUUGUGUUAGGCUCAUUCUUUAUGUUCUGGAGCACCAAGCGCAGAAACAACAGCUGCAAACAUCACAGUAACCAGGACGUGAUCCAGUCUGAGAUGAUAACGUGAGUCUGGUUUAGUCUCUCUCAAGCUUCAUUCGGCUGUGAUGCUGCUGUAAAGAACGCUUCUAACCUCUCAUCUGUUCCUCUCUGCAGAAUGAAUGAUCCUGUAGCUGAUGUUUCCUCUGAACCUCAACCUGUGGAAAUGAAACAGUCAUCAUGGAGUUUGAGGCCUAGAGGUCUAGACCAGUGUCCUGCAGAGACGUCUUGAAGAUUCUAGAAAUCCUGAACACUUUGAUUAGCUCUUUAAUUAAGGUGAAAGAUGAACUCUGACUGGACAUCAAUCACUACUGAGCCAUUUUCCUGUUUUUAAAUUGUUUUCUAUCAAUGAGAUUGUAAGGCUUUUAUAUACCAAAUAAAUGUUUAAUUUAUCAAAUGCUUCUACUGAAUAUAUGCUUUCUAUGGAGAGAGAUUC